UAGGGAAUAUUAGUAAUGGGCGAAAGCCUGAACUAGCAACGCCGCGUGUGCGAAGAAGGCCUUCGGGUUGUAAAGCACUUUUUGAGAGGAUGAGGAAGGACGGUACUCUCAGAAUAAGUCUCGGCUAACUACGUGCCAGCAGCCGCGGUAACACGUAGGAGGCGAACGUUAUCCGGAUUUACUGGGCGUAAAGCGCGUGUAGGUGGUUUGGUAAGUAGGGCGUGAAAGCUCCUGGCUCAACUGGGAGAGGCCGUUCUAAACUGCCGAGCUAGAGGAUGGUAGAGGGAGGGGGAAUUCCGGGUGUAGCGGUGGAAGGCGAGGAUAUGCGGAGGAACACGAGUGGCGAGAGCGGCCUCCUGGACCAUUCCUGACACUCGGACGCGAAAGCUAGGGUAGC
rnacentral:rRNA from 1 species